UUAUACAAUACAAAUGUAUUUUGUUCUGAAAUAUGCAACAAAUUGCAUUCAAUACACCAGUGCAGUGGGUCUGACAUACAUACACAACGUGCGGAAUGGCAGGGAAAUGCAUCAAUAAGCAAAAUACAUCAAGUUUAAUUACCGCAUGCUAAAGCUAAAUAAUAAUCACUUAACAACAGCAACAACAACGAAACAAAUAUAAUUUAAGUGUAAAGUUGAAGCAACAAAACAAACUCGAGGUUUCGCCAAUUCGUAUUUUUGCAUGUCGUCUUAUCAUCAACAACAACAACAAGGCGUAGUUUCGCCCGCCGAAAAUGUCACAUAACUGUAAUUACGAAUGGAAUAAGCGCUAAAGACUGAUCAAGAUAAAAGUACUACAACAAACAGAUAGAGAGAGAGAGAGAACGACCAGCAGAGAAGAGUUGGCUAGCGGAGAUUGGAGCGAGGGCGGCGUGAAAUGCACAACCCACGCAGCAG